rnacentral:rRNA from 1 species
GCCCUACGGGGGGCAGCAGUGGGGAAUAUUGCACAAUGGGGGAAACCCUGAUGCAGCGACGCCGCGUGAGGGAAGACGGUUUUCGGAUUGUAAACCUCUGUCCUCUGUGAAGAUGAUGACGGUAGCAGAGGAGGAAGCUCCGGCUAACUACGUGCCAGCAGCCGCGGUAAUACGUAGGGAGCGAGCGUUGUCCGGAUUUACUGGGUGUAAAGGGUGCGUAGGCGGCUAUGCAAGUCAGUAGUGAAAUCCAUGGGCUUAACCCAUGAACUGCUAUUGAAACUGCACAGCUUGAGUGAAGUAGAGGU